UACGUAGGGCGCAAGCGUUAUCCGGAAUUAUUGGGCGUAAAGAGCUCGUAGGCGGUUUGUCGCGUCUGCCGUGAAAGUCCGGGGCUCAACUCCGGAUCUGCGGUGGGUACGGGCAGACUAGAGUGAUGUAGGGGGAGACUGGAAUUCCUGGUGUAGCGGUGAAAAUGCGCAGAUAUCAGGAGGAACACCGAUGGCGAAGCAGGUCUCUGGGCAUUAACUACGCUGAGGAGCGAAAAGCAUGGGGAGCGAACAGG
rnacentral:rRNA from 1 species